GGAGAGCUGGCCGAGUGGCUGAAGGCGCGCCCCUGCUAAGGGCGUAUAGGGUUAAACCUAUCGAGGGUUCGAAUCCCUCGCUCUCCGCCA
rnacentral:tRNA from 1 species